CCUUCACAGGGCGGAAGGUGAAAUUCCGUGUGCUUAGCAGAGGACAAUUCAAACGGGUGUCCAGCAGAGAUGGUCAGGACCUCAGCCCGCAGCUAUGAGAAGGGGUCCUCCGGGUGGAGGGAAGAGUCUAGCCCCGCAGGCGAGGCGGGGAAGCAGAGGCGUGCUUCCAAGACGUCCAGAGGCGCGAUCAGGAUAUAUAUGAUCACAUUUUAACUUAGUCUGCAACAUGUACUGAAUAAAAAGAAGAUAGUGCAAAGCAAUUCUCCAACACAGUAAAAGAGGCUGUGAAAAUUGGGGCAGGAAAAGGUUUAUUUCAUGUGGCUGGUCUCAGAACCUG
rnacentral:lncRNA from 1 species